rnacentral:sRNA from 1 species
GGGUAUGGGACCGUCUCUCCCGGCUCCAUAGGACACCUCUCCUGGGAGUUAUGGCCUGGUCUCCGCCCCGAGCGAUAGGCCUACCCAGGGCACUCAAAGCUCCCAGACGACAGUCCACAGUGUGGGCCACAGUUAGCCGUCCAAGCCCCUGAGGCCUCGGUGCCCGGCCUGACCAGCUGUCCCGCCUCGUUUGCACGUGCAGGAAGGCAGGGAGAGAUUGGGAGAAGCCGAAGACAUCACGCGGGAGGCGGCCACGUUCUCGCGGACCCUGGGUCCCGAGCCCAGGUGUUUGCCCAUGGCCGGGUCGGGGGCCGCGGACAACCGGAGUCUGGCGAGGCAGAGGUCGCAGCAGGCCUGGUCCAGUUUCCUCAAUACCUCACUUAGCCCAGAUGCCCUCAGCCGGUUCCCUGUCCCACGACAGAAAGUCAACAGCUUGCCUGCGCCAGCUGCGAAAGAGCACGGCGACAGAGGGAAGUCUCAGGAGGAGCCGUCCUGGCCUCCGGGCGUCGGCUCUCAGUUCCCGACGCCCCUAGGACCGGGAGUCCGAGGCUGCCCCGUUGCGCACCCCGCCAGGGCUUGUGGGGCCUGAGGGACUAGGAGAGCGGAGAAACUGACCACAGCUCUGGGCAUGGAGCCGGACAGGCAGACCAAGGAAACCUGGCAGCCACUCUUCAGAGCCUUCCGCUGCCGUAGGCGACCCGCCACUUCGUGUUGGGCAACAAGGGGCGGGCGCCUGGCCUGGGCUUCGGCCGGGGAGCCCCCGCCGGGCAACCGCGCCAAGGAAAUGCUUUUUUUCUCCCUUCCCCUCCCCCUUCUCCCCUGAGGCAGCUUCCGUUCUCUAAAUGUAAUAAGAAGAGGGGGGUUAUCUCUGGGGCUUCUUCUCCCCCGCACCCACAUCGGUCUAGUCACCGCUAGAUGCUGGUGUUCCGCAAACAAGCGCCAAACUCACACAAGUUUCCCCGAAAACCAUCCACUUUAACUGCGGUGAGGGAAAAUGCCGAGAGAAAAAGUGAAGGUUGGUGUUUCCCUAAAUGCAAAACAUCAGAGAGGGUUUGAAAAGAGCUUUGCGUUCCUUGCGAAACCUCCAUUGUUACUUGGCAAACAAUGGGAGCCUGGGCGACUGCAGGGCUGUGAGAAUGAAUAGGCGAUCCACGGGAUGUGUGCGGGUCAGUGCUUGCGGUCCUGGGCCUAAAGCCCCUUUCUCAGCUUGCCACAAUAAACCGAGCAAGGUUCAGUCUUUACUGGGUCACCGGCCAUCCUCUAUUAUUCAACACUUCACAACAAAAAACACUUAUUAAUCAGCGCUGACCAGAGGCCCCCUUUGAAACAAGAGAGGAGAGAGAGGAGGGGAGAGUGGGAGAGGUGAAGAGAAGAUUGAGAAUCCUGGGACAGAUCUUUCUAAAACCAGAACAACCAUAGGUCCUUUCCUCUGGUGGUCAAAGUUUAUUUGACAAAACAAAGUUUUUAAUCAGGCCAGAGAGACUUGCAUUUCUCAUUUGCCUGGUUCCUUGUUUUUUCUUCCGAAGACUUUCAAGACUUUGUUGCAAGGAAGGAUGGCUUUAGGUCAAAUUGCUAAGGUCUGAUCUUAAAGAUCUAAUUGCUAUUGGAAGUAAAGGCUGAUUUCCCAGCUGGGCCUCCACUCGAGAUGGUGCAAGGAAGACUGUCCACUCUGCUGUGGGCACCCUGCUGAUGGAUGAGGUGUCAGGCCAGUCGUCAUGUGAGCACUGGUUUCCAAAUGAUGCAGGCACUGGGUUCCAUGCCAAAUUUACUGUGACAUUAGCUGAGCAGUUGAGGUCAUCUACAGAGAAGAAUAUCGUGACAUUUUAAAGGUAGAAAACUUGUACCCAAGGGACUAUGAGUCACUCAUCACUCAAGGCAAGGACUCAUAGAUUCUACCUGCCACUUCCCUCCUGGUCCUCUGACUCAUCACUUUGGGGUAAGAAACAUAUCUGAUGCAAAAAUGUAAAAAUAAAUGAAGGGCAUGAUAAAUUGAACUUUAGUGUAGAUGUACUUUGGCUGUCAUAAAUAAUAUAAAAACUGAGAGUCUGGAGAGAUCUGUGAAAUUAUAGUGAUGUGUAAUUUGUUCUGUGCUUUCUUAGCUUCUCAUUUCACGUUAACUUUAAGAUUAUCCCAUUAUUUUAGAAUAGUUUCUCCAGUUUAGAUUCAGUAGUUUUUUUUCCUGUUUCCUCCUUCCUUCCCUCUUUAUGUUUCAAUUUGACAAAUAAUGAACAUUCACAGAUGAAAUAUGCACAGUUAAUGCUUAUAGUCCUACUUCUUUUGGAACCCAUUUCUGAAGGCAGAAUUUGUUGCGGUGGUGGUUGUUUUGUCGUAGGACAGAAGCUUAGUCAACCCUGGCUCAGCUCCCAGUCGCAAGUGAUCAAAGUUGAAUCCUAUCGGCAGAUUUCAUGAAGACCAGUCUAACCAACUGAAUUCCUCUAUUUUCAUCACUUCCCUCGGUUAGUGUUGUGUUGCGAAUGUUAUAUCAACUUGACACAAGCU